ACUCCUACGGGAGGCAGCAGUGGGGAAUAUUGCACAAUGGGGGAAACCCUGAUGCAGCCAUGCCGCGUGUGUGAAGAAGGCCUUCGGGUUGUAAAGCACUUUCAGUAGGGAGGAAGGUAGUGUAGUUAACACCUGCAUUAUUUGACGUUACCUACAGAAGAAGCACCGGCUAACUCCGUGCCAGCAGCCGCGGUAAUACGGAGGGUGCGAGCGUUAAUCGGAAUUACUGGGCGUAAAGCGCAUGCAGGCGGCCUGUUAAGUCAGAUGUGAAAGCCCGGGGUCUUAACCUCGGAAUUGCAUUUGAAACUGGCAGGCUAGAGUCUUGUAGAGGGGUUAGAAUUUCAGGUGUAGCGGUGAAAUGCGUAGAGAUCUGAAGGAAUACCAGUGGCGAAGGCGGCCCCCUGGACAAAGGCUAGACGCUCAGAUGCGAAAGCGUGGGAGCAAACAGGAUUAGAUACCCCGUGGUAGACUGUCA
rnacentral:rRNA from 1 species